rnacentral:lncRNA from 1 species
GAAGCUAAUCAAAGAUUAAAAGGGAUUGCUACCUUAGCUCUCAUCUUCGGUCACGCUCGCUUUUCUGGUCUUUCGCUGAUCGCCGACUGCCCCAGAAGAAAGAGCUCACUGAUUGCUGGGAGAUAUAAUGCAAACAGAGCUUGGUAUAUAUACCCGUAGGGUUCUCGCAUCAGCAGAACCCUAAUGCACUUCACGGAAAAAGGACAACUUGGUAAUUUUGAGACUAUUCUUUUUAUCCUUUUGCAAAU